rnacentral:rRNA from 1 species
AUUGAACGCUGGCGGCAGGCCUAACACAUGCAAGUCGAACGAGUGGCGGACGGGUGAGUAAUGUCUGGGAAACUGCCUGAUGGAGGGGGAUAACUACUGGAAACGGUAGCUAAUACCGCAUACCAUCGGAUGUGCCCAGAUGGGAUUAGCUAGUAGGUGGGGUAAAGGCUCACCGAGGCGACGAUCCCUAGCUGGUCUGAGAGGAUGACCAGCCACACUGGAACGUAGACACGGCCCAGACUCCUACGGGAGGCAGCAGUGGGGAAUAUUGCGCAAUGGGCGCAAGCCUGAUGCAGCCAUGCCGCGUGUAUGAAGAAGGCCUUCGGGUGGUAAAGUACUGUCAGCGGGGAUGCGUUACCUGCAGAAGAAGCACCGGCUAACUCCGUGCCAGCAGCCGCGGUAAUAC